CCUACGGGAGACAGCAGUGAGGAAUAUUGGUCAAUGGACGAGAGUCUGAACCAGCCAAGUAGCGUGAAGGAUGACUGCCCUAUGGGUUGUAAACUUCUUUUAUCUGGGAAUAAAACGUUCCACGUGUGGGAUUUUGUAUGUACCAUAUGAAUAAGGAUCGGCUAACUCCGUGCCAGCAGCCGCGGUAAUACGGAGGAUCCGAGCGUUAUCCGGAUUUAUUGGGUUUAAGGGGAGCGUAGGUGGAUUGUUAAGUCAGUUGUGAAAGUUUACGGCUCAACCGUAAAAUUGCAGUUGAAACUGGCAGUCUUGAGUACAGUAGAGGUGGGCGGAAUUCGUGGUGUAGCGGUGAAAUGCUUAGAUAUCACGAAGAACUCCGAUUGCGAAGGCAGUUCACUGGACUGCAACUGACACUGAGGCUCGAAAGUGUGGGUAUCAAACAGGAUUAGAUACCCUAGUAGUC
rnacentral:rRNA from 1 species